GACGAACGCUGGCGGCGUGCUUAACACAUGCAAGUCGAACGGAAAGGCCCUGCUUUUGUGGGGUGCUCGAGUGGCGAACGGGUGAGUAACACGUGAGUAACCUGCCCUUGACUUUGGGAUAACUUCAGGAAACUGGGGCGAAUACCGGAUAGGAGCUCCUGCUGCAUGGUGGGGGUUGGAAAGUUUCGGCGGUGGGGGAUGGACUCGCGGCUUAUCAGCUUGUUGGUGGGGUAGUGGCGUACAAAGGCUUUGACGGGUAGCCGGCCUGAGAGGGUGACCGGCCACCUUGGUACUGCGAUACGGCCCAGACUCCUACGGGAGGCAGCAGUGGGGAAUAUUGCGCAAUGGGCGGAAGCCUGAUGCAGCAACGCCGCGUGCGGGAUGACGGCCUUCGGGUUGUAAACCGCUUUCGCCUGUGACGAAGCGUGAGUGACGGUAAUGGGUAAAGAAGCACCGGCUAACUACGUG
rnacentral:rRNA from 1 species